AGGGGGCUGGAGUGAGAGGAGAAGAGGAAGAAAUUGAACCACAUGUUAUUUCUUUGUCAUCGACGUCAUCCCACCAUUGUAGAGAUUUUCUUGGAUGACAUGCGGCCCAUACUCUCGCCCCUUGUUCUCCAUCUCUGUUGGUCGUGCAGGAUGGUCUGCUAAUUUCCCUGAUGCUUCAUCAGGUUUUGGAAGAAUCGGGCUAAGGGGUGAUUGUGCUCAGGUUUUGAUGCAG